GUGCCAGCCGCCGCGGUAAUACGGAGGGUGCAAGCGUUAAUCGGAAUUACUGGGCGUAAAGCGCGCGUAGGUGGUUCAGUCAGUCAGAUGUGAAAGCCCCGGGCUCAACCUGGGAAUUGCACCUGAUACUGCUGAGCUAGAGUACGGUAGAGGGUAGUGGAAUUUCCUGUGUAGCGGUGAAAUGCGUAGAUAUAGGAAGGAACACCAGUGGCGAAGGCGACUACCUGGACUGAUACUGACACUGAGGUGCGAAAGCGUGGGGAGCAAACAGGAUUAGAAACCCUUGUAGUCC
rnacentral:rRNA from 1 species